GACGAACGCUGGCGGCGUGCUUAACACAUGCAAGUCGAACGGAAAGGCCCUGCUUUUGUGGGGUGCUCGAGUUGCGAAGGGGGGAGUAACACGUGAGUAACCUGCCCUUGACUUUGGGAUAACUUCAGGAAACUGGGGCUAAUACCGGAUAGGAGCUCCUGCUGCAGGGUGGGGGUUGGAAAGUUUCGGCGGUUGGGGAUGGACUCGCGGCUUAUCAGCUUGUUGGUGGGGUAGUGUCUUACCAAGGCUUGGAAGGGUAGCCGGGCUGAGCGGGUGACCGGCCACAUUGGGACUGAGAUACGGCCCAGACUCCUACGGGACGCAGCAGUGGGGAAUAUUGCACAAUGGGCGGAAGCCUGAUGCAGCAACGCCGCGUGCGGGAUGACGUCCUUCGGGUUGUAAUCCGCUUUCGCCUGUGACGAAGCGUGAGUGACGGUAAUGGGUAAAGAAGCACCGGCUAACUACGUG
rnacentral:rRNA from 1 species